rnacentral:rRNA from 1 species
GACGAACGCUGGCGGCGUGCUUAACACAUGCAAGUCGAACGGAAAGGCCCUGCUUUUGUGGGGUGCUCGAGUGGCGAACGGGUGAGUAACACGUGAGUAACCUGCCCUUGACUUUUGGAUAACUUCAGGAAACUGGGGCUAAUACCGGAUAGGAGCUCCUGCUGCAUGGUGGGGGUUGGAAAGUUUCGGCGGUUGGGGAUGGACUCGCGGCUUAUCAGCUUGUUGGUGGGGUAGUGGCUUACCAAGGCUUUGACGGUUAGCCGGCCUGAGAGGGUGACCGGCCACAUUGGGACUGGGAUACGGCCCAGACUCCUACGGGAGGCAGCAGUGGGGAAUAUGGCACAAUGGGCGGAAGCCUGAUGCAGCAACGCCGCGUGCGGGAUGACGGCCUUCGGGUUGAAAACCGCUUUCGCCUGUGACGAAGCGGGGGUGACGGUAAUGGGUAAAGAAGCACCGGCUAACUACGUG